AAAUAAAAAUCGGUGUCGUCGCUGCCUUUCGUGGUGACGCGUCGGAAUUGAGUCGUCUUAUCUUCGGCUAAGUAACUUAAAAUUUUUAUAUGAUUUUCGAAUGUAUUUAAAUUGCUUACGUACGUUUGAGAUAUCAAAUGUUUUUAUUAGGUUUGGUCAUCCUCAUGAUUCGCGCCUAUAAUUUUUCAUU
rnacentral:misc_RNA from 1 species